GGCACUGAGCCAAACUUUACCGACGCUUUUUCCUAGCGUCGGAAAAAGUGAGUUGGCAAAACCCACAUUUGUUGUAGUGUUUGUUGUGUGUUCUGAUCAAAGUUUCAAUGGGAGCAGUAGUGUUAUUCAUAGCAAAAGUGCUAACUGCAAAACAACCUCAAUGCAGUUAAUUAAUGGGCAAAUAUAGGUAACCAACAUACUUGAAAAUAUUUAUAACCACUACUUUAAUAAGAGCCCUUGGUGCAAUGCCACAAACUUACUUUGGAAAAAAAGUGACCCAAAUAAGGUAUCCUCUCCAGCAUAUAAUGGAAUCAACUAGUAAGGUAUCAUCAUUUUUGGGGUCCAUCUACUUUGGUAGAAUAGAUUCCUAGACCAUGCACACUUACUAGUUAAAAAAUAUUCUACUUUAGAAUUAUAACAUGCAAUAAACUCUCUUUGGGAAGAUGAUUGUGUGCAACAAUUCCACAAUGCUUCUUAAUUCCUUUCAAAUAUCAAAUAGAAGGAUCUUGCAAACCUCAAUGAAUGGGCCACUUUGGUGGUCACUAUCCAUUGAAACCCACAACCCUCUAGAAGAAAAAAAAAAUAAAAAUUAACAAGCCAUGCCCAUAAAUCCAUUCAUUAACCUUGAUACACCAAUAGCAUGCAUUUUAUAAAUAUUAACAUGUCUCUCAAUCUCUUGAAAUACCAAACAGAUGGAUCAGGAAAAUUUCAAUGAAAAGGCCACUUUCGUGAUCACCAUCCACUGAAACCUACAAUCAUUCAAAUCAGGGAUCACAAACAAAUCAAUAUUUAGACCAAAUGUGAGAGUACAAAGAAUUUACAGUAACAUGUUGAAAGACCUUUAUGCAAUAAAAAUAUCUUAUAGGGACCAUAGUAUAAUUAUCAGAGUACUACUUUGUAAUAAAAUUUUAGUACAAGGAUAAAAUAAAUAUUCAGGUACCUUUUGUAAUAAAAUUUCAACAUAGGGAUUAAAAUAAAAUUUCCUAUGGACCUAUGUGAAAUAAUAUACUUUUCAUGGGCUCAAUUAAAAAAAAUUCCUUUUAGUGGCUAGCCAGAUUCUGAUUUUGGGUCGAAAUCCAAAAUCUUUUUCUUCUUUCUCACAAUAGAGUAGAGGAGGAGGGGCCAAAACCGUGGGCCCUCCUCGCCAAAACCGGCGGCCGCUGAAAUCCCUUAAUUGGUGGUCUGUCGCCUUCUUUCCGACACUCCGAUCGCUGAUUUUCCGAUAAUCGAGAGGAGAACCUUCCGCUAACCGAGAUUCAACGAUUCCUUUUUUUCCUUCUUAAAAACUGAAGGGAAGGGGGAAAAAACCCUCAUGUGGUGGCGCAGCCGCUAGCCGAGCUCACAAUCUACCCAUCCCAGGCAGCAGGUGGUGACCUCUCUGGCCACCCGAUGAGAGGAGGAGGAGGAGGGCAUCACGG
rnacentral:lncRNA from 1 species